AUGCUGAGUGAUGUGCUGUGACCCACCCAAGCAAGUGAGAUUUGCUGUUGAGGGUUGAGCUUUCUGUGGCAUUCCUGCCCCCACCAUGACAGGUUGGCAGAAGUUUCUGCGGUGGGUAGACAAACCUCCAGCAGCUUUGGCUACGGUGAUUCUCCGUCAGCUCCGAUGGCCGCUUCAUCUUGCUACAUUCAUGGACUGCAGAAGAAGCGCUGGUUAGAGAUGGCACCGGUGGUUUCUUCUCAGACAACUGCUGAAAAGCACCAGGAAUCCUAAAAGAAGAUCCUUAAAAAGGCAGUUGUGGAGUGUUAGACAGAGCUCUUGACCUAACACCUGGGGAUCUGCACUGUGUUCCUAGCUGGCCUGCUGUCAGCGCUAAGGGAUACUACGGUGCCUUCUGUACCAGCUGUCUGCUCUGCAUUGGAUACUGCAGUCCAGCUGUGUCUGCAGUGAUGUAGCACGGCCCUUGAAUGACCAGCCAGAUGUGCAGUCGUGGUGCGAAGUAGGAGACGCAGGCUGCAAGGAAACUGCCAGAAGAAUCAAGCUGCCAGAAGAAUGACACAGCACAGAGCAGCAACAAAAAGGAGCCAACUGAGUGAAUGACCACAUGAAUUGAAAACAGCAAAGAAACAUAAAGGACUAGACCAGUGAGUUGUUCUUUGGCCACAGCACAGAAAUUGCUACAUAUUUAUCGUCAAGUAAGGAAUAACCUCUCUUUGACCCGCUAACCUUCAUCAUUGUGUAAGAAAGUUCUUGUUUUCUCUGUCUUUUCCACACUUGCUCUGCCCUGAUUCACAAAAAGAGCAACAUACUCUCUUAAGCCAGUGAAAGAUAUAAGGUCUGAUACUGCUUAAUCCAGAAGAGCUGGAAACGGACAAUUAAGCCAGCAGUUUGCUCAGCCACGCUGUUACAAAUACUACCGGGCAGAGGUGAAGCUUCAUAUUUAGGGAGUUAGGAAGAGGAGCCCAACUCUGAACAUUGCUGAAUACUCUCAGGUCCCAGAGAAGGACAAGGACUCAGCUCCACAGAACGAAGUGCCUUUCAAGAGUCCAGCUCUAACAGCACCAUGUUUGUGUUAUCAGCAAUUUCAAAUGGUUUACAUCGUUAGCCUGUCCAAAUUCCAACUAUGGAUAAAAAUGUUUUCUAACCUAAAUAUUUCUUUUCCUCUCUUCUUUGAAGAGGAAAUACUGUAUUUUCACCAUGUGAUAAACAUGCAUUUUUUCAUGGGUACUGAUAAUAUUUGUGUUCAUUGGGUAUCUAUCAGUUUUCUGUUCCACUGGGCAGGAUCUCAUUUCCAAACUGUAAUUAUUUAAACCCUGGAAUCCCUUCCGGAGGCUCAUGAUGGCUCCUGUUAAGAAUCCAGGCUUAUAAUUCUUUAUGUUGGAAAGCAUUUUCUAGUUUGCAUCUGAAAAGCACUGCACAAAAUGGUUUCUUUUUUUAAAAGCUGAGGCUCUUCUAAAUUAGCAAUUCUGAACUGCUGAAGGAAACACAUAUAAACAGGAGAGCCUUAAACUUGCAUACACAUUCUUCUUCUAUGUUUGAAAAGAGCUCAGGCAAAGCUGGUUCUUAGUCCCAUGUAUUUACUUAAAGUUUGAUCAAGAUAUGUCAAUAAGGCUUAGAUGGGUAUUUCAGAGACAGUUUCCUAGAUUAAAGUUAAAACACGCAGAAAACUGCUUUGCAAAUUCCAUAAAGGCUGACUUGACUAUAAAAUCUGACAUAAGGACAUGCCCAUAAGGAUGCACAUUUUUCAUUCUGUUUUAAUUAACAUGAUGCUAUCAUGUCUCUUCAAAGACAGGCACUGUUGUCGCUGUGAGUUCCUUUGGGAUCAAGCCUCUCCUUAGCAUCACCAUUGUCAGCGCAUUUGGCUGGCCCACAGUUGGAGGACUUAUGUUUCACUGUAAUUUCUUCCAAAACAUUCAGAAAAGGCUCUCACUCUCUCUUUCUCAUUAGCUUGAUGGAAAGAGCAUGCCUUCAUGCAUCUAUUUAAAGUUCCAGUCAAACGGAACUACUGAAAGCUGUUCUUUCAUAACCAAGGUCAGAAUUAUUCGAUAUGGUAAAAAUUUUACAAGGCUUAUGUCACUGGGAAAGAAGCAAACAUUAUACCAUUGUAUUUCCAGUACACUUUAAAAGUCUUUGUUUCCACCAUCUGCAGCCUCAGAAAUCUUGUGCUUUAGUGAACUGGCAUGUCCACAGAGUACAAACCUCCAUUCUUUUAAUUCCUCCAACUCCUCGUCCACCAUAGUAGGAAGCAUCCACUGUGGGCCAUUUCUUGGUAGGCAAGGGAUCUUCUUCUUCUUCCUGUCCAUAAAUUCAGAUAGGUUUACUUUAAAAAGAGAUACUUUUCUUUUUUUUCACUAAGUGUCUAUCUAAUAUAUGGUUUCAUUAGAGUUCACAGAGAAAAGGUUUUCCCAUCUUAAGUGCAAAGGACCAGAUUUUUAGGUUCCCCAAGAGUUUACCAGCUUGCAAACAAAAUCUAGUCAUGUUUGAAAAUCCUUCUACAUUUUUGGGCACGGGAAAACAUUGGUGGCAACCACUGUGAAAGUCCAAAUGGGGACUCCAACUAUGUAUUCUACUGACCAUAAUUCAUUUGUCUUGUCCUUUUCCUUUCCGCUAAUAAAAACAAGCAAUCUCACAGAAGGAAAGGGAUUUUCAGAUGCUUUCUCUACAGAAAAUAUAUUGCCUUCAAAGAGCCAGAUUACCAGCCCUAGUCAUUUGGAUUCAGCAGACGGUGCUCAGCAGAUCGGCAGAUAAAGGUUACACAGCCAAUCACUGUUUCCUAAGCCAACCUUUGUCAAACUUGCUCUCGGCUGCCUCUGCUCAGUAGAGUACCUUAUUAUGGACUUAACUUUCAGAAUAAGCUUGAAUGCGUUCAAGCGGCUGGCUAAAUCGAGAGCAAGAGGAAAAAACCCUGAAGAUGCCAGAAUAUCCUCUUGUACAUUAUUGGCCAUAAAAGGUAAAGAAAUUCCACUAUAAAGGUUGUUCAGUGUUUGGAAUAUCCAAGCUGCAGGAAAAUGCUGUAUCAAGUCAUUCGAUGAAUCUUUAGACUAUCAUACAAGAAGUACCCCAUCUCUCUGCUUUCACUGUAGAUUGGGAAACUUAAUGUUAAACUGUUUUGGGAUAAAGCCCCAAAAUAUUUCUGUGGAUAUGGGUUUAAGUUACUUGACUCAUGCUGCACUGAGAUGACUGGGGCAGGACAGAGAUUUGGACUUUGACCAUCCAAAAGUCUCAGCUUAAGGCUUCCCACUGGUUUGUUCUUCCUUCUUUUAGCAGCUAGGACAAAGAGACGGAUUUGCAGAACACAGGAAAGCACAGAGGAAUGGUAUCAUGUAACCAAUGUGGUCCGUGGAGCACCACCACACUGUACCUCUUUUGGAGCUGGCGGAGGCGGAGGAGGAUCUUUGAUGACCUAAAAAAACCAAACAUACAAAAACAUAAGUAACUGCACUGACAGCAUCCAAAAGCCGACAGAAAAUUUUAAGUGAACUGUUUCUGUCCGAGUCCUCCACAUCUGUUUGCAAACUGGCAGCCACUGCUGCCAAGUCCCUUGGGGAUUGAUUAUCAAGGCCUUCUGGAAAUUAACACCACCCUUCUGAUAGAAAAUAAAAUCAAUUGACUGACAGACACUCUCUGGGCAGACGUGUCUGCCCCUUUGCUUCCUGACCGGAUAAGAUUCAGUCAUUCUAAGUAAUUGCGAGUGAUGAAAUCCUAUGGAGUUAAUUAGCAAGCCUGGGAGGAAAAGCAACCCAAGGUCUAUGUGAGGUCUCGUGUAAUCUUGGGCCAAGAUGCCUGCUUCCUUGUGCCAUGCUGCUGGAGAAUUUCUGGCCCAGUGACAAGUGUGAAAUGCCUACUGGUAGCUCAGGCUUCACCUCUAGACGUCCAGAUCAUUUCCGUAGAUCUCACAUUUCAGAUAAUAAUUUAAAUACGUAGCUCCUUGACUGUUCAGUGUGGAGUGCCUGCAUCAGGGAGUUACAUUCACAAGGCUUCUUAAACUGUUACUGGAGAUGGACAGCUUCUGUUAGGGUAAUUCACUUAAACCUUACUCCCAGCCACAAGACUGCUUGGCUACCAACUGAAAUUACCUCUUUAUGUGAUUAAAAAAAAAAAAGACAGAAGUAAGGUCUCUGUUGGAUAACUGAGGCCCUGCAUUUUGCUGCAUGAAGUGCUUGUAAUUUUGCUUUAGGUUAGCUUAACUUUUAACAAGCUACAGAAUAUAUAAAGCACAUUUACGUCAUUUAAACUUCUCCCCCCAGUGUGAAUCCUUGUAUGUGGAUUCCUGUGAAUCCUAGGGAGUUCCCUAGGAUAUUGACAAGAAACAACAGUAAAGGGAGAGGAAGAGGAAGGCAACGACCCUCUUAAAGGAUGAUGAUUAAAAACUGAAAGCACAGGCAUUGUUCAGCAAGACAAACAGGUUAGUAAAGCUAAAAAGGAAGCACUUCAGUUUUAUGAAGAGUCAUUUUUUGUGCGUAUUAUGCAAAAAUGAUGGAAAAAAUACCCCAUGAAUAUAAAGCAGUCUAGUUCUGCUAUGCCUAUACACCCAACUAAAAUUGUCCCCAAUGACAGAUACUUAAAUUUCCUGCUGUAAGAGUAAACACCUUAAUUGCAAUAUAUUUUCUUCACUCUCUGCUAUUAAUUACAGCACUUUCAUUUACUCUACCACUGCCUAUAAAUAAUGUGUCAUUGCACAGAUGCCUAGCAUCAUACAUAAAAGACGCAUCUUUUUCUUGACCAAUACUCAAGAGUUUUCCUUCCUGACUAACAUCUCAAAUCGCAAUGGCACCAAAAAUAGUUACUGCUAAUAUAAGCUAUGUACUUUUAGCCCUGGAUACAGGAAUUACAUCAAAUAAAACAAAUAAGUUAUGGCACCUUUGGAAAUAUUUUUUCCAUGGUAUGACAGGUUUUAAGAUAUUAAAUUGUUUAUUAAGCUCAGACUACUUUCAGUAGAUUGGAAAAUCAAUUAGGGAUUUUAAGUAGGCACCUCUUUCAUGCCAGAACCUUGCAAAAACAUGUUAAAAUUAUUUUUCUUUAAAUAUUUCUGAGUAUUUUUUCUUGUCAUCCAUCAAGAAUUUUCAGAAUACUUAAUAGAAAUCAACUAUUUAAUUAAGUCAAGCAUUCCUGAAAGCCAAACUGGAAUUACUGCCCUAACUUUACAGAAACAAAAACACAGAGAGAUCCUGAAACAGAUUCUGAGAGAAUCUGGGUGCUGAGCAAGAUUUUCAAAAGAUCUUUAAUUCUCACUGAGAACAGUUAAAAGUCUGGAAAUAGUAAAAGCUACUUUCAGUCUAAGGUUCACAUUAUCUUAUGUAUUUAAUUCUCAUCCUUCUUUCCCCUCUGCCUGUCUCUAACCAUUAUCUCAAAGUACAUAUUUUGUUGCCAAGACUAUAAGAAGAAGACGAGGAGAAGAAGCCAAGCUAGGUUGCAGACUUGUAUAAAUACAUAUUUAACAAUGAUAUCACUCCACUUUCUAUAGCUCUAUGAUUCUUAUAUCCUGGAAUCUCUCCUAAGCAAAAACAACUUUGGAUAAUAAACUUUAUGAUGCAUUCUAAAGCUUGCUUGGGCCUAAUGCCUAUCAAUUUUGACAGAAUCAAAAUUUCUACCCCAAUGAAUCAAGAAAAAUACCACUUGUUGACCUCACUGGGCUUCAUAAGCCAUAACUCAGUGGAAGUUUUUGUUUAACUGCCUUAGCAAAGGAUGCAAUCCCAUGCCAGCUGCUAAACUCCCUGAAGUUAUAGGGUAAACUUGAUUUGAAGCUAACCGAUACAUUAAUUAGCUGCUAUUUCUAAUAGCUUCAGAAAAUGAAAGUUGUUUUAAAUGUGACAGUGGUGUGAGAAAAUAAUCUGCUUUGAGUAGCAGAUAUUCACCCCUGCUGACAGAAGUGGAAUGUAAAUGCCUGCAUCCUUAUGUUUCCACAGGCUCCUCACACACUCACACACUCGCUCGCUCUCGCUCUCUCUCUCACACACACAAAGAGUAUUCUCAGUCUUGUCUGAUAUUUCAAGUAAAAUUAGCAGAAAGCCAUUUCUGAAAAAAACAAAUCAAGGAACCCAUGCAGUUUUGGCAGAAAACAAUGCAAAUGUAGCAUAAAACUGCAGAUAUUGAAGCUCGUAAUACUGCAAAAUUAACUUUUCCUGAACUUUAUUCAGAUCAUUUAAAUACUGAAGACUCUGAAUAAUUCUGCUGUCUUAUUAACCACAAGUAGAGAUGGACUGCUCCCUAAUUUUGUUUUGGUUUAUUAUCAUCGUCCAGCAAGGCUGCAUCUCAUUUAUUUAGUUGCAAAGAAUGAAGACUUGAGUUUGGAGGAGAGCCGAUUUCUUAAAAAAAGAAAAAAAAAAGUUAGUUGCUUCAGGCAACAGUCCCUUUGAUCUGCUCAUUAACACUUUUCAAAUGUUCGAGUGAUGUGGGCAUUAGGAAAUGUCAGCACCAGAGCCUGAAGCCAGCUUGAUGCGAUCAUAUGUUCUGAUAUUGAGGGAAGAGUGAAAGAACUGUCAACAGUGAACUGCUUUAAAAAAAAAAAGGAAGAAAAGGAAGAAAAAGGAGUCCCCCCCACCCCAACCUGUAACUGUACAUGGACUUCAUAUCAUGGAACACUGUCAAGACUGAUUCCUAGCAAGGAUGAAGUAAGUGCCCAAACUACCCAAAGCACACAACUCUGAUGGCCUGCAGACAAUAGGAAUUAUAUGUUUGUGGCUCCAGAUACUCAUUCUGUUCUGCCUGUAACACCUUUCUCCUCUUUUCCAUUUGAUUCUAAUCUAUGUGACAUUUUUUAGGCUUGAGGGCUGCUGCUUUCUUCCUCACUCCUGUUACUUGUCCCAUGAAACUGAACACUCCCCUCUGCCAGGCAAGCAGGCUCCGUGGAAGGGAAGAGGAGGUCCUGCCUAGCCUAAUAUGCUGCCCCUCUUGUCAAGGACACCGGCACCAAAGCCCAAGGUUCUCAGCCAGAAGUGGUGAUGACAUGUAAUGUGAGCACGUCAGAUGCGGAAGAGAAGGAAAAAGAAUGGGAGUACAGUAUAAUGAUCUGAGAAAACAUCAAAACAAAAAGAAAGGAAGAGUCAAUAUUUGGUAAUAGGGUCAGUGUAAAAGUAUGUGUUCUUGGAACUCAGUAUUGUUGUAGCAGUGAGCCCUAAAAUGAUCUUUUAUUUUAAAGGAAAUAAGAUAUUCAUGAUAGGUGGGAGGAAACAACAGGGCACUAACAUUCAAGGCGCUUUGGUUUUAUUGCUCCUAUAGAAGUCAGACUACUUUUUAACAACAGCUCACUGAACAGCUCAAGACUUCCCUUAAAAUAGACAUUUACUGAUAUUACCAAAUCCUAUACCCAGAAAAGAUGUUCAGGAUAAAUCACCAUGCCUUAAAGUAAACAUCAGGGAGGAACAGACCUAAGCACAAGGUGAGUCAGAUUCCAAGGGCAUUUUCCCACUGCUGAGUGCAGCGCUUUGUGGAGGUACACAAGUCAGCUCCACACAAGAGAAGCCAGCCUAAUUAGCCCACACAGAGUCCUGCACUGAUGUCACUGUGCGUCUGCUGGCACCCAAGGUAGUACCACCGCUCUACAAUUCAUUAUACAGUAGAGCUAUUUUGGUUAAUUGGGAGUUAGCUUAGGUAUUCCUCCACAGCUCGGCAUGAUUCAUUUACAUACACCUGUAAUGUAAACUGAGCUCCAUUCAAUUCCGGCAAGCACAGGCUGCUGCAGCUAAUAUUUUAAUGUAUUAUACUGGCAUAGCUACCGUAAGGGCUGAAAAUUAGCACUACAGAACUCUACAGUUGACUUUUCUCUUGUAUGACUCUGACAUAAAAAUACAGAAAGUGUCUUACUGAUUGUCAUUACAAAGUCAUCACUGUAAACAGGAUUUCGGCUCUCAAGGGACUGAGAUACUGCAAUCACUUUUUACUGUAAUGAAAGGAAAAUGCACAGUAUAUCAAGAUUUACUACACCCCAGGAGACCAGCACGGACUUCUGAACACUGCCUGAUGUGACAAGUAUUUUGAUUUUUCACUAGGCUGUACAUGUGUAAACCUGACUCCGAAAAAACCACCCAUUUGGCAAAUGAUUAAAACUGUAUGUACAACUGAAUAUGAUGUAAUCUAUGGAACUUCCAAUUGUAAAAGACUGAUUUGGGGCUUACAUAAAUUAGACAUGCGCGGAUACGUUCUGA